GUAGUAAAAAUAAUAAAGCAUUAAAUGGAUGCCUAGAAUUUAAAUUUUUUCGUAAACAAAUUUACGAUAUCUAUUUAGUAAAUAAUAUAUUGAUAUUUUUAUUUAUUUGCAAUUAAUAGAUUAAAAAUUAAUUUAACGAAGUGAAACAUCACAGUAGUUAUUUUUAAAAACUCAAUUGAGAGUAGUAUAGUGGUGAGCUUAUACUAUAAGUUUUAUUUUUAUAUAAAAUUGAAAAUUUUAGAAUAAAUUACCAAAGUAGGUGAAAGUCCAGUAAAUUUUU
rnacentral:rRNA from 1 species